UUGGCACUGCUGCAGCUGGUCACGCCGGAUUUUGGAAGAAGCCCCUAAGAUCAUGCUCUCUAAUUCACUCUUUGUCACGAUUGUUUACUCAAAGCUCAGCAGAAACAUCGCUGCCUUCUCUGUUCUCAUAGUGAGUUUUGUUUUCUGCUUACUUGCAGGAGGCAGGCGAUUAAGAGACGCUUAUUUCUCCGUGAGAAUAGCGACGGAACACAAGUGGGAUUCUCUUCUUCUGCAAAACACUGGAUAAUUUUCUCACGGAUAUUCGCGCACUGCCAGGGUUGUAGCCAACAGAGACUGAAGGAUGGGAACCCUGCCUUAAUGGACAUUGUAUGCAUCAGUAGAAAAACAACAUUCUUACAUCCAGGCUUUUUAAAUGACCACGCUUCCACUGUAUAUAAGCCUUGUGUAUACUGCGUAAUUGUAACUCUUACUCAUCUCUUUUCUUAUGCAGCUUCUAAUACAAAGUGGGAAUGACAACUUCAUGUGCUGGUUCCUUGCACCACACUGUAAGAUAGCCCUGAACAUUACGAUGCAAUGUCUGCAUGACAUGGAUUCAUGGUGAAUUUUAAUUGUAAUAAAAUAUUUAUUUUUAUAAUUUAAACAUGUAGCGUAUGUGAACUUAACUUAAUCUUUUUUUAUUAAUAAAUCAUGAAUCAGAAAAUGUAGCACUCGCUGGUUUCACUCUCGCUUAAAUCAGAUCAGACUCACAGAAAGCAGCCACUUGUGUAAAAAAAAAGAAAAAAGUAAAAAUCCAUGCUCCUUUAAUUACUUCAAUUCACUGCAUCACUUUUGGUGCUGAACGAUGGAGAAAAAAAGAGGUGCAAAAGCAGAUAUUGGGUUGUCCUGCCACAAACCCAAUUAACUUAAUCAAAUGUCAUAGUGAUAAAUGGAGGAGGGUGGUGUGGCUGGAGGUUCGUUUAAACAAAUAAGAGCUGCUUUGACCUGAAGAUGUGUCGAAUGAGUCUUUUCAGAGAGACAGAAGACUGAUGCUCUGAGUCAGUUAUGUAUUGACCGUGUCAAUGUUAUGGGCCCUGAGACAGACACCACCUACACACCGUACAGAGAGUGAGAACUAUGUAAAAACAAAAAAACACUGCUCAGUAUUUGCCAAACUCUUUUGUUACUUUGCUGCAACGGGCUGAUUGUUUUUGUAGUUUUCUGGGGCGAAUCAAUCAUCUACGCUGUCCUUGGUGCUGAAUCUGAUCCUGCGUCCUCUGCAGAACGUUUUGUGCCAAACUCUCUGCAUUACUCUUUAAGUUUCCUUCGCUGUGGAAGUCAUAAAGCAGUGAAUGGAAAUAAAAAAAAUAUAUAUUAAGCAUUAGAUAUUGGGUGUAAGACGGGGAGAUCCAGC